rnacentral:rRNA from 1 species
GGGUCAGUAAGUUGGUCGUGCCACCGGUACGUACUGGUCUCACUGAUUCCUCCUUCCUGAAGAACCGUAAUGCCAUUAAUUUGGUGUUGCGGGGAAACAGGACUGUUACUUUGAAAAAAUUAGAGUGGUUGAAGCAAGCUAACGCUUGAAUUCAUUAGCAUGGAAUAAUGAAAUAGGACGAUCGAUCCUAUUUUGUUGGUUUCUAGGAUUGACGUA